GGACAAGCCAAUAUCCCUAAAUAUUCAUGAUGCAUGCACUCAAAACUCAUGAAUAUAUUCAUCAAUAAUUUUGGCAUAUAGCCCAUCAACAAUAACGUGGAACACUAUCCAACGUCCGUCUUUAUUAAGAUAAUCAAUACCUUAAUAUCCUUCUUUAUCGAAUAACAUAAUUCGAUAUACUUCUUUAUUAGAAUAACAUAAUUCUAAUAUCCUUCUUUAUUAAGUUGAUUAACACCUUAAUAUACU
rnacentral:lncRNA from 1 species